UACGGGGGGAGCAAGCGUUGUUCGGAUUUACUGGGCGUAAAGGGCGCGUAGGCGGCGCAACAAGUCACUUGUGAAAUCUCCGGGCUUAACCCGGAGCGGUCAAGUGAUACUGUCGUGCUAGAGUGCGGAAGGGGCUACUGGAAUUCUCGGUGUAGCGGUGAAAUGCGUAGAUAUCGAGAGGAACACCUGCGGCGAAGGCGGGUCUCUGGGCCGAUACUGACGCUGGAGGAGCGAAAGCGUGGGGAGCGAACAGG
rnacentral:rRNA from 1 species